GCUCUGUCCUCCAGACUAGAGUGCAGUGGCGUUAUCUUAGCUCACUGCAACCUCCGCCUCCCAGGUUCAAGCAAUUCUCAUGCCUCAGCCUCCUGAGCAGCUGGGAUUACAGGAUAGCAUUGAAGCUGAACUUACAAGAAGAGUAGACAUGAUGGAACUGUGACAAAAGCCAAAUAAACAUCCUUUUCCCUAACAAAGUAAAUUGAAUAGGACUUUACAGAGUUCUUUUUCCUCUUGGCAUUUCCUAAUAACAAAACUUUCUGUGUUCUUAGAUUACAGAAUAUCAUAAUUGAUAGAAUAUGGUUUCUUACUGUGUGUUGCAUUUUUGUGCCCAAAUACAUAGUUUUCAUAUUAAAAAGCCUUUUCUCUU
rnacentral:lncRNA from 10 species